rnacentral:rRNA from 1 species
GAUGAACGCUGGCGGCGUGCCUAAUACAUGCAAGUCGAGCGAACAGACGAGGCGCUUGCUCCUUUGACGUUAGCGGCGGACGGGUGAGUCACACGUGGAUAACCUACCUAUCAGACUGGUAUAACUUCGGGAAACCGGAGCUAAUACCGGAUAAUCUCUUGAACCGCAUGGUUCAUUAGUGAACGACGGUUUUGCUGGCCGUUAUAGCUGGAUCCGGGCUGCUUUGGCUAGUUGGGAGGGUAACGGGUUACCAAGGCAACGCGGCGUAUCCGAUCUGCGAGGGUGGUCGGCCACCCUGGAACUGGGACACGGUCCAGACGCCUACGGGAGGCAGCAGAAUGGAAUCUUCCGCAAUGGGCGAAAGCCUUACGCAGCAACGCCACGUGAGUGAUGAAGAUCUUCGGAUCGUAAAACUCUGUUAUUAGUGAAAAACAAAUGUGUAAUGAACUAUGCACGGCUUGACGGUACCUAAUCAGAAAGCCACGGCUAACUACGUG